rnacentral:rRNA from 1 species
UACGAAGGGGGCUAGCGUUGUUCGGAAUCACUGGGCGUAAAGCGCAUGCAGGCGGAUCGCUAAGUCGGGGGUGAAAUCCCGAGGCUCAACCUCGGAACUGCCUUCGAUACUGGCGAUCUUGAGUCCGGGAGAGGUGAGUGGAACUCCGAGUGUAGAGGUGAAAUGUGUUGAUAUUGGAAGGAACGCCGGUGGCGAAAGCGACACACUGGACCUUGUCUGACGCUGAGGCACGAAAGCCAGGGGAGCAAACGGG